ACACGUAGGGCGCAAGCGUUGUCCGGAUUUAUUGGGCGUAAAGGGCUCGUAGGCGGUUUCGUAAGUCGGGUGUGAAAACUCAGGGCUCAACCCUGAGACGCCACUCGAUACUGCGAUGACUUGAGUCCGGUAGGGGAGCAGGGAAUUCCUGGUGUAGCGGUGAAAUGCGCAGAUAUCAGGAGGAACACCGUUAGCGAAGGCGCUGCUCUGGGCCGGUACUGACGCUGAGGAGCGAAAGCAUGGGGAGCAAACAGGAUUAGAUACCCUAGUAGUCC
rnacentral:rRNA from 1 species